AAAAAAAAAAGUCUCCCAGAGAACUUGAAAGCCUUAGAUCAGGAUUCCCUUCCUUCAGAGGGGUGAGAGCAACUUUGUGGAGUUUCGGGCAAUAAGGAGAUUGCCUUGUCAGUUUACAGAAGGAAACUGAGGCAGAGAGAGACGCAGCAAUUUGCCCAGGGUCUCAGGGGCACUCAUUCUUGGAACUCUUGGAACCCAGCCUCCAUGCUGGGAGGAAGCCCAGGACCCACGGAGAGGCCAGGUGUGGAUGUUCUGGCCUGCAGUCUCCACUGUGCCACUCCUAACUGCCACACAUGUGAGGGGAAGACACUUCUAGAUGAUUCUAGUCCCCUGCCUUCAACUCUUUUCAGCUGAGGCCCCAGAUACUGUAGAACAGAAGGAAGCCACCCCCAUGUGCUCUGUCUGAAUCUGUGAGCAUAAGAAAAUGGUUAACAGUACUACAUGUUGGGGUUGUUAUGCUGCAGUAAA